UCAGGAAAGCCAUCACAUCACUAGUCCUGGCUAGCUAAAGUAGGAGCUCAAGGCAAAAGCACAACACGACCUCUGCAUGCUCUGUGAACUCUCUCACGGUCAACGACAUCUCGGAAAGAGACCUCCCCUGAAAAGCACACUGGGUGUUAUCACUGGGUGUGGUCCAGGUUUUCCAGGAUGCUGUCCAGGACAAGCCAUAUUUCCUGAUCACGUGAAAGCCUCGGUGGACGUAUGUGGAAUUGUGUGCAUCCGUGAAGGGAGGAGGAGGAUUCUAACUGGGAACAUGUGGCAGUUUAUCUUAAACACAGAAAAGAGGAAAGAGAGAGAGACAGAUAGAGGGACAGAGAGAAGGAGGAGGAGGAGGAGAUGUGUAUACGUGCAGAGCUGCACUAGUCUGUGUUACACAGUCUGGGGGAUUCCAGCCAGCUGCGUUGGGAGCACUGACCUUGGCAAAGAGUACACUGUUUUUCAGUCCCUGGGACAAACAAGUGUUAGAUAUAAGUGUCAACUGGUCAGCGGGCGAAUGAUUUACUGACAUUAAUAAAAAGAGAAAAGUAACUGCAUAAAAAAAUCGUCGUCUACUUUGAAGAAAAUACAAAACGAAUCAAAAAUGUCUCAUGGAUAUGCAGGUGUGCUGUUUUCAACUCAUUUAUGUAAUUCUGCCACAUUCUGUUACGUAAAUUAUGCAUUGUAAGUUAUUUUGAGGGAAAAUACCAUGAUGUACCAACAGUACAGGAUACAGGAUGGGAAGCUGUCGGGGUUAUUUAAUGUUGCAGGUGUGUGAAUGUGUGUGUUUCCAAGCUUAUUUUUUCCUUUAAUUAUGGUGCAGCUUUCCUUUUGAUCUCCUGGUACACAGGAGCCCUGAUUUAUUUUGAAGUGACUUGUUUUCUCUGACCAUAACUCUUGCGUCGAUGACAUUGUUGGAGCCUACAUCACGGGCUAAUGAUUUACACAUGUGUGCACUUCUAUGCGUGUUAUAUCACCACCUAUGUCUGCUCUAAUCAAGUCAAAGUUAAGUUCUGUGCCAGACAUUUAAUAUUUUGGGGGCUGUUCAGUACCUUGGGCAAUGUGGGAACUUGGUACAUAUUCUUCUCUAAAAUAAAAGCCAAACAGUGAAUCAUCUAUCAUCUCUCACUGCUUUGAAAACAAUGGUAUCAUUCUUACACUAAGAUCUGAUUGCUCUGGUUACUUGGCAAUGGCCAGCUUGAGAGGGAUCGUGUUAUUUCUCUUCAGUAUUACUUACCAUGUAGGCUGUGUGACUUGGAAAUGAACUCAUUAAGCAAAUAUUGAAGAGUAAGAAUUUCCUUUGUCCCUUUAAGCACACUACCCCUAUGUAGUGUCAACCUUUGGCCAACUUUGUUCUGGUGGAAAA